UUUGACUCAACACGGGAAAACUUACCAGACCCGGACAUUUAUAGGACUGACAGAUUAAUAGCUCUUUCUCAAUAAAAUGGGUGGUGGUGCAUGGCCGUUCUUAGUUGGUGGAGUGGUCUGUCUGGUUGAUUCCGAUAACGAACGAGAUUCUAUCCUAUUAAAUAGUACACGGAUUCGUUUAUUCAAUGAUGUUCAAAUAUGAGUGAAAUAUCGUUUAUAUGCUUAGAUGUAUAAGAUAUUCUAAUCGCAUUCGUUUUCUCGAAUUGCGAAAGGGAGUUUAUUAUUAUCAUUAUUUUGCGUGUAUUCGAGAAAUAACUCUUAAAUGGAUAAAAAUUGUAAUACGUUCGUGUAAUUCUUCUUAGAGGUAUAAACGGCGAUAAAAUAGCCGAAUGAGAAAGAGCAAUAACAGGUCUGUGAUGCCCUUAGAUGUCCUGGGCAGCACGCGCGCUACAAUGUAACGCUCAACGUGCCCUUAUUUUUCCAAAUAAUCCUAUUCUGAAAAGAAAAGGAAACCAUAUGAAACCCUUACAUGAUUGGGAUUGGGGAUUGGAAUUUUUCCUCAUAAACGAGGAAUUCCUAGUAAUCGCGAAUCAUUAGUUCGUGCUGAUUACGUCCCUGCCCUUUGUACACACCGCCCGUCGCUACUACCGAUUGAAUGGUUCAGUGAGGGCAUUAGACUAUUAUCUCGAGUUUUAUCAAAAAACUUAUAGACCGAUAGGAAGAUGUCCGACUUGAUCAUUUA
rnacentral:rRNA from 1 species